rnacentral:rRNA from 1 species
CCUACGGGUGGCAGCAGUAGGGAAUUUUCGUCAAUGGGCGCAAGCCUGAACGAGCAAUGCCGCGUGAACGAGGAAGGUCUUCGGAUCGUAAAGUUCUGUUGAAGGGGAAAAAGAGCGGAGAGAGGAAAUGGUCUCCGAUUGAUAUUACCCUUCGAGGAAGUCACGGCUAACUACGUGCCAGCAGCCGCGGUAAGACGUAGGUGGCGAGCGUUAUCCGGAAUGAUUGGGCGUAACGGGUGCGUAGGCGGCCGUCUAAGUCUGGAGUGAAAGGUACCGGCUCAACCGGUACAGGCUCUGGAAAAUGGCGGGCUAGAGAGCAGGAGAGGGCGGUGGAACUCCAUGUGUAGCGGUAAAAUGCGUAGAUAUAUGGAAGAACACCAGUGGCGAAGGCGGCCGCCUGGCCUGUUACUGACGCUGAGGCACGAAAGCGUGGGGAGCAAAUAGGAUUAGAUACCCCUGUAGUC